CCGAGUUAUAACAACUCCCAACCCUUGCGCAUCGUACCCAAGCCUGUUCUCGUUGCUUCCUGGCGGGGGCGCGCGCCCGCGCGCGCGCCCGCCGCCAGGGGCGGCGAGCCUCGCCGAACCUAUUUUCUAAACAAAGAACACGAGAGCGCGUCUGAGCAAACACAAAAACAGUCA
rnacentral:misc_RNA from 1 species